UACGUAGGUGGCAAGCGUUGUCCGGAAUUAUUGGGCGUAAAGCGCGCGCAGGCGGUCCUUUAAGUCUGAUGUGAAAGCCCACGGCUCAACCGUGGAAGGUCAUUGGAGACUGGAGGACUUGAGUACAGAAGAGGAAAGCGGAAUUCCACGUGUAGCGGUGAAAUGCGUAGAGAUGUGGAGGAACACCAGUGGCGAAGGCGGCUUUCUGGUCUGUAACUGACGCUGAGGCGCGAAAGCGUGGGGAGCGAACAGG
rnacentral:rRNA from 1 species